CGAAUGGCAUCGGGAGAGUCCGCGCGUUCACCCUAUCGCGCGGCGCCGAAGGAGCAACCACCCCGGAAACUCUCAGGCACCAUGGACCGAUGCCCUGGA
rnacentral:ncRNA from 2 species